CAACAGUAGCCAACUGCCACUCUGCAACGGCACAUGUGGCUUCCCACAGGGUUGACCUUUAAACCCUGAGUCAAGCUGAUGAUCUUUUAUAAAUGGAACACCUAGUCCAAGGAGUACAAGACAUGUUACCAUGGUUUCCACUUCCUACUUUCAUUAGAACAUAUUGCUAUGCAGUCAUCAACUGUGGGUCAGCUGUGGCUCUCUUACAUCCUCUCCAACCGUGGACAAUAUUAUUCAAACAGCAUUGAUGAGGGAAGAAAUAAGGUCUGAGGAGAAUCUAUAUGCUUGAAGGAGACAACUGAUUACCACAAGCUGUCUUCUGACUUCUGAAGACACCCUCUGGCCACUACAUGCAUGAGAGCAUUGCAUGCUCAUACAUAAAUAACAAACAUAAUGCAAAUAAAAUGUUUGUUCUAAGUAA